rnacentral:rRNA from 1 species
UUGAAACACGGACCAAGGAGCCUAGCGUGUGCGCGAGUCAUUGGGUGUAAAACCUAAAGGCGCAAUGAAAGUGUCAGGGGCGACUCCUUUACGGAGGCCGUCCCGCAGGGAGGAUGGGCCGCCGCACGAUAACCUCGUCGGAGCCCCGCACUCCCGGGGCGUCUCGUUCUCAUCACGAGUGGAGACGCACCAGGAGCGCACACGCUGGUACCCGAAAGAUGGUGAACUAUGCCUGGCCAGGACGAAGCCAGGGGAAACCCUGGUGGAGGUCCGAAGCGAUUCUGACGUGCAAAUCGAUCGUCUGAGCUGGGUAUAGGGGCGAAAGACCAAUCGAACCAUCUAGUAGCUGGUUCCCUCUGAAGUUUCCCUCAGGAUAGCUGGCUCUCGGGAAGAGACGAGUCUCAUCCGGUAGAGCGAAUGAUUAGAGGUGAUGGGGUCGAAACGACUUCAACCUAUUCUCAAACUCCCAAUAGAUGAGAGCCCCGGCUUGCUUAAAAGUGAAGCCGCGGGAAUCGGAUCAGAGAUGC